UGCACAAGCCACUUGAUGAGAUCAUCAAAAUUACAGUGUCAUAACUCCCACUUGCAAGAAAAACCCGCAAAAAAUCAACGAAGCAAUGCAAAGAAACUACAUCCUAAUUGUCAAAUAAGAAAUACAGAAUCAAAAGAACAACGGUUCCGAUUACACCGCAAAUGAUUCGUGAUGCUGUUAAACAAUUGCACACAAGGAGAGUUUUCAUCAGUUCAGCAUUAAUCGCCAGCCACUUGCGACGACGGUAUCCUAUAGAAAAUGAUCCAGAUGCACUCAAAGAAGAGUUAGAGGAUAAAUUAAAUUGUGCUGUCUGUGUUGGUCUAAUUGCAAAGUGUGGGGACGAUAAGGUGAUCCACUAUCAACCCGUGAGGAAUCUAUUGCUCCUGCAAUUCCUGGGAUAAGAAUAUCCAAGAAACGAGCAAGUCCUGCAUUAAAAUACAGGUCCG